GAGCCCGUAGCUCAGCCGGUAGAGCAACUGACUUUUAAUCAGUAGGUCUCGGGUUCGAACCCCGACGGGCUCACCA
rnacentral:tRNA from 1 species